GUGGAUUAUAUACCCCGGUAGUCCACGCUGUAAACGAUGUCGAUUUGGAGGUUGUGCCCUUGAGGCGUGGCUUCCGGAGCUAACGCGUUAAAUCGACCGCCUGGGGAGUACGGCCGCAAGGUUAAAACUCAAGUGAAUUGACGGGGGCCCGCACAAGCGGUGGAGCAUGUGGUUUAAUUCGAUGCAACGCGAAGAACCUUACCUGGUCUUGACAUCCACAGAACUUAGCAGAGAUGCUUUGGUGCCUUCGGGAACUGUGAGACAGGUGCUGCAUGGCCGUCGCCAGCU
rnacentral:rRNA from 1 species